GACGAACGCUGGCGGCGUGCUUAACACAUGCAAGUCGAACGGACAGGCCCUGCGUUUGUGCGGUGCUCGAUAGGGGAAGGCGGGAGUAACACACGAGGAUCCCGUCCCUGUCAUACGGAGAACAUCUCGAGACUCCGGCUCAUAUCGCAUAGGAUCUCCUGCUGCACGUGGUGGGAUGGAGAACUCCGGCGGUUGGGGAUCGACUCGCGGCUUAUCAGCUGGUUGGUCGGGUAGUGGCGGACCAAGGCUUUGACGGGUAGCCGGCGUGAGAGGGUGACCGGCCACAAUGGGACUGAGAGACGGCCCAGAAUCCUACGGGACGCAGCAGUGGGGAAUAUUGCGCAAUGGGCGGAAGCCUGAUGCAGCGACGCCGCGUGCGGGAUGACGGCCUUCGGGUUGUAAACCGCUUUCGCCUGUGACGAAGCGUGAGUGACGGUACCGGGUCAAGAAGCACCGGCUAACUACGUG
rnacentral:rRNA from 1 species